CCUACGGGUGGCUGCAGUGGGAAAUAUUGCACAAUAGGCGCAAGCCUGAUGCAGCCAUGCCGCGUGUGUGAAGAAGGCCUUCGGGUUGUAAAGCACUUUCAGCGGGGAGGAAGGCGGUGAGGUUAAUAACCUUAUCGAUUGACGUUACCCGCAGAAGAAGCACCGGCUAACUCCGUGCCAGCAGCCGCGGUAAUACGGAGGGUGCAAGCGUUAAUCGGAAUUACUGGGCGUAAAGCGCACGCAGGCGGUCUGUCAAGUCGGAUGUGAAAUCCCCGGGCUCAACCUGGGAACUGCAUUCGAAACUGGCAGGCUAGAGUCUUGUAGAGGGGGGUAGAAUUCCAGGUGUAGCGGUGAAAUGCGUAGAGAUCUGGAGGAAUACCGGUGGCGAAGGCGGCCCCCUGGACAAAGACUGACGCUCAGGUGCGAAAGCGUGGGGAGCAAACAGGAUUAGAUACCCGUGUAGUC
rnacentral:rRNA from 1 species